CUUGCUGGAAAUGGAAACACUGCCUCCACAGUCGUGAAAGAGAGAGGAGCAGUCAUAGCAAAGGAGGUGGGGAAAGACAGAGAGGAAAACAAAGAGUCUGUGAAGCAACAGUCACUCUCGGGCUGCCUUGGAAGCAUGCAAACUAAAGUAAGGCUCACAGUUCAACGCCACAGCAGAUGAUUAACACCAAAAACCACCAAAAGGAAGAAGGAACAAGUCUGACGAGAGAGCAGAGCAGAUUAAAAAGGCUCAAAGGAAGGAGAGAUUAAAAUCAGAGAAGAGGACAACAGAAGCAGUGACUGGGAUUUGUUUUUGUGGGUCAUCUCACUUUUCAUCAACUUCACGUGCAGACACUCAACUCUAUCUGAGGAAUUAUCUCUCCUAACCCUAAUCUCACACGAGUGCCAAUUUCAGGCAGCGUCUGAGCACUCCUCUGGAUAAUUUACUGCACUCACACACUCAGCAGGUAAAUCCUGCCACGUUCAUUGCCGUCUCCUCCUCAUCAACCGGUCUGCUGACUUCAAUUGGGCUUGUCUGAGUGUGUGAAAACAGCAAGGAAUCUCACCCACAGGAUGGAUGCCGGAGAACAGACGCUGACCCUUCUGAGCAGGAUAUGGAUGAAGCUGCAGAAUCUGCCCAAAGCGAAUGAUAUAGAGCUGGGGGCUUUCUUCGUCUUACUAAUAUUCAUUUUGGUGAUCGUGCUCAUGGUGGUACUGACCUGCCUGACCUGCUGCUCCUGCUGCCCCUGCUGCCCCUGCUGUCGGAAGAACAAGACAAAGAACCCUACCAUCUGAGAAAAUGUGCACCACAUGAAAGGGAAUAUUUACAGAGAGACAAUUUCUGGAUAUUAAACUCCCAAGCGCAAAACACACACAAUAGCAGGGUUUCUCUACAGCUCUCCCAAGAACUGUAAAUCCUGCACAGUCAAAGCCAUGUCAUUUAUCAGCCAGCAUUAAAGACUGGUGUCUGUGAAGCCUCAUACAGGGUGUGUUGGGCUGCACUGAAGAGGCACAACCCUUCAAUAACAAAGCAACUGCCAAAAUACUAAGAACGGUAUCCUGACUGGCUGCCAGACACACCUGCUAACACUGUCAGCUUUGCAGAACAAUCCACAUUCUUUGGAGCAUCCCUGCACUCUACAAGUCAACAAGAACUCUUUUGAAGUGAAAAAAAGGCAGGAAGACCAACCCCAGCUGCAACUUCCCUCAUGCAGGCAAAUAAUGUGUCCAAUAUGAGUAGUAAAAUGAUAUAAAGACUUUGAGGAUUGGGAACAGAUUUGCAUGACAGAGGAGGGAGGAAGCCGCUCCAGAUCUGAAGGUGCUUCAUAUUGCUCUAUGUAUGAAGCAUAUAUAGAUAAAGUCUGCCCUCUGCUGUUCAUAACCUUUAAUAGCAUGUAUGUGAUGAAGAUUAGGGAAAUUAGAUAAUGUAAUAAUGGUGCACUUUCACUUCGUUUUUUUGCCACUGUAGAACAGUUCAAUCCCCACCCUAGAAUCUCAUCUCUGAAAUAAUGGAAGUUUCCCCCCCGAGACUGGAAGGAACCACUUUGUGUGUAUUGUGUUUUUGAUUAUGAUUGUAAUUGAAUCAAUCACUCAUGAUUGAAUUUAGUGGAUCCGUCUUUGGUCACUUUUGAGGAGACACUUGUCAAGUGUCUCCUCAAAACUUCCCUUCGCAUUAACACAUGUGAGCCCACUUCAAACAUUGUGUGUCACAUGGCCUCAGUGUGAGAGGUGAUCAGGUCAAAGUGGUUCAUUGUCAUAUAUCUCCGAUGAUUGAAAGGUCUUCAGAUGAAUUGUGUCUCGAUGCAAAUGACCAUUUGGUGAGUAUUUGGGAGUGCCUAUGUCCUGGAUGGAUAUUUAAGGAAAGAAAGAAGACCCACUUUGGGAGUUGAACUGCUUACCAGAACUCCCACACAUGAGGUGUGCUGUAAAUAUCUGUUUAUGCUGGCUAUAGCUUAUUCACUUUUGGACAUUGCAAUAAACUUGUAUGUUACCCAUUCGUUCCUUA